rnacentral:rRNA from 1 species
CCUACGGGAGGCAGCAGUGGGGAAUAUUGCACAAUGGGGGAAACCCUGAUGCAGCGACGCCGCGUGAGUGAAGAAGUAAUUCGUUAUGUAAAGCUCUAUCAGCAGGGAAGAAAAUGACGGUACCUGAGUAAGAAGCCCCGGCUAACUACGUGCCAGCAGCCGCGGUAAUACGUAGGGGGCAAGCGUUAUCCGGAUUUACUGGGUGUAAAGGGAGCGUAGUCGGGAGUGCAAGUCUGGAGUGAAAGGCGGGGGGUCAACCCCCGGACUGCUGUGGAAACUGUACGGCUGGAGUGCAGGAGAGGUAAGUGGAAUGCGUAGUGUAGCGGUGAAAUGCGUAGAUAUUAGGAGGAACACCAGUGGCGAAGGCAGCUUACUGGACUGUAACUGACGUUGAGGCUCGAAAGCGUGGGGAGCAAACAGGAUUAGAUACCCUUGUAGUC